rnacentral:rRNA from 1 species
GAUGAACGCUGGCGGCGUGCUUAACACAUGCAAGUCGAACGGAAAGGCUCCUGCUUGCAGGGGUACUCGAGUGGCGAACGGGUGAGUAACACGUGGGUGAUCUGCCCUGCACUUCGGGAUAAGCCUGGGAAACUGGGUCUAAUACCGGAUAGGACGAUGGUUUGGAUGCCAUUGUGGAAAGUUUUUCGGUGUGGGAUGAGCUCGCGGCCUAUCAGCUUGUUGGUGGGGUAAUGGCCUACCAAGGCGUCGACGGGUAGCCGGCCUGAGAGAGUGUACGGCCACAUUGGGACUGAGAUACGGCCCAGACUCCUACGGGAGGCAGCAGUGGGGAAUAUUGCACAAUGGGCGCAAGCCUGAUGCAGCGACGCCGCGUGGGGGAUGACGGCCUUCGGGUUGUAAACUCCUUUCGCUAGGGACGAAGCGCAAGUGACGGUACCUGGAGAAGAAGCACCGGCUAACUACGUG